rnacentral:rRNA from 1 species
GUAGGAGACAAGCGUUAUCCGAAUUUACUGGGCGUAAAGCGCGUGCAGGUGGUUGGGUAAGUGGCGUGUGAAAUCUCCUGGCUCAACUGGGAGAGGCUGCGCCAAACUACCCGGCUAGAGGACGGUAGAGGGAGGUGGAAUUCCCGGUGUAGUGGUGAAAUGCGUAGAUAUCGGGAGGAACACCUGUGGCGAAAGCGGCCUCCUGGACCGUACCUGACGCUCAGACGCGAAAGCUAGGGGAGUGAACGGGAUUAGAAACCCCGGUAAUCCUAGCCGUAAACGAUGUGGACUGGGUGUCGGUGGGGUAAAAGCCAUCGGUGCCGAAGCCAACGCGAUAAGUCCACCGCCUGGGGACUACGGCCGCAAGGUUAAA